UGGGAUAUGAAGUGUGUCCUCAUUAGGGC
rnacentral:piRNA from 1 species